AGUUGGCUUCAGGACAGUGGGAAAAUUUCUUGGCUUGGAGCAGAUUCAACCAUCGUAGCGGAAUUCUUAGCCUUGUCUGUUGAAAUCAUGCAACUUCAUCUAUUGGAAGAAAAUGAUCGCAAUCGUUUACUGGGCCCAUACAAGAAAGUUCAACAGUGGAUUGAAGAUACAAAAACUACAACGAACCCUCAUUUUGAUGAACUCCACGGUGCUGUUUUUCAAUUCGGUGCAAUGCUGAACAAGCAGCAGUAAGCAGGAGGGAAGAGUGAGGUUUAAUCUCAAAUGCAAUAUUUGAGGAAGAGUGUUGUAGCCUUGUAUUUAAAAAUCUGCAAUAAGAUUGUUCGACGACAUUU